rnacentral:rRNA from 1 species
UACAGAGGGGGCAAGCGUUGUUCGGAAUUACUGGGCGUAAAGGGCGCGUAGGCGGCCUGUUAAGUCGAACGUGAAAUCCCCGGGCUCAACCCGGGAACUGCGUCCGAUACUGGCAGGCUUGAAUCCGGGAGAGGGAUGUGGAAUUCCAGGUGUAGCGGUGAAAUGCGUAGAUAUCUGGAGGAACACCGGUGGCGAAGGCGGCAUCCUGGACCAUUACUGACGCUGAGGCGCGAAAGCUAGGGGAGCAAAACGGG